CCUACGGGGGGCAGCAGUGGGGAAUAUUGCACAAUGGGCGAAAGCCUGAUGCAGCAACGCCGCGUGCGGGAAGACGGCCUUCGGGUUGUAAACCGCUUUCAGUAGGGACGAAGUGAAAAUGACGGUACCUACAGAAGAAGCACCGGCUAACUACGUGCCAGCAGCCGCGGUGAUACGUAGGGUGCGAGCGUUGUCCGGAUUUAUUGGGCGUAAAGAGCUUGUAGGCGGUUUGUCACGUCGGAAGUGAAAACUUGGGGCUCAACCCCAAGCCUGCUUUCGAUACGGGCUGACUUGAGGAAGGUAGGGGAGAAUGGAAUUCCCGGUGGAGCGGUGGAAUGCGCAGAUAUCGGGAGGAACACCAGUGGCGAAGGCGGUUCUCUGGACCUUUCCUGACGCUGAGAAGCGAAAGCGUGGGGAGCAAACAGGCUUAGAUACCCCGGUAGUC
rnacentral:rRNA from 1 species